ACGCGCGGUUAAGGUGCCAAAGUCGACGCUCAUCAGACCCCACAAAAGGUGUUGGUUGCUCUAGACAGCAGGACGGUGGCCAUGGAAGUUGGAAUCCGCUAAGGAGUGUGUAACAACUCACCUGCCGAAGCAACUAGCCCUGAAAAUGGAUGGCGCUCAAGCGUCGCACCUAUACCGUGCCGUCGGAGCAGAUGCGAAGCUCCGACGAGUAGGAGGGCGUGGGGGUCGUGACGCAGCCUCUGGCGCGAGCCUGGGUGAAACGGCCUCCAGUGCAGAUCUUGGUGGUAGUAGCAAAUAUUCAAAUGAGAGCUUUGAAGACCGAAGUGGAGAAAGGUUCCAUGUGAACAGCAGUUGGACAUGGGUUAGUCGAUCCUAAGAGAUAGGGAAAUUCCGUUUGCAAGCGCCCGAUCUUGGGCCGCCUAUCGAAAGGGAAUCGGGUUAAUAUUCCCGAACCGGGACGCGGAUAUUGCCGUUCGCGGCAGAUGCGGUAACGCAAACGAACCCGAAGACGCUUGCGGGGGCCCUGGGAAGAGUUCUCUUUUCUUUUUAACGAGCUUUCACCCUGAAAUCAGCUUGCCUGGAGAUAGGGUUUAAUGCUCGGUAAAGCACCACACUUCUUGUGGUGUCCGGUGCGCUCUCGACGGCCCUUGAAAAUUCGGGGAAGACAUUGAUUUUCGUGUCCGGUCGUACUCAUAACCGCAGCAGGUCUCCAAGGUGAGCAGCCUCUGGUUGAUAGAACAAUGUANGGUAAGGGAAGUCGGCAAAAUAGAUCCGAACUUCGGAAAAGU
rnacentral:ncRNA from 1 species